rnacentral:pre_miRNA from 1 species
CAUGCACUGGUGGGGUCCCUCAGCCUGGCCUGCACCCUCUCACAAUCUGGGACCCCUCGGGGGAUGUCGGAGAGCUGGUUUCGGCCCCUAUCCCACAGGCCAGGCUGAGGGACUCCACUGGUGCACA